GGCGUUUGUGAUGAGGAGGGGGAUGGGGGAAACUGGCGGCCGUGAUGACAACUAUGAAAGCGUGUUAGACUACUGACUACCGUGAAGUGAAUCGGAGUCUGAGCCAAGGCCCCGCCGAGCGGUGUGGGUCGGGAUUCUACCAUUUCCAGGAUCCUUCAUCACUUUUACUCUUGUCCCCGCAGAUCCCGUGUGUCCUGCCGACAAGACGGCACCGUUCUGCGCACGCGCGCCUCCACAUCCUCCGUCAGUCCUCCCCCUUGUGUAAAAGCUCCCAAUAAAAAAUUCCCAAAGUCUCAGCUUCGUGUCGCGCGUGUUGUCUCUGACGUCGGUCGCACUUGCCUUUGAACCCGUGGAACGCCUUGCUGUGGUAUCCCGGGCCAAGCAGCAGUGCAAGAGCAUCCCAGCUUGUUUAUAACUGGUUCCGCUUAGUCCAAAUUUGAGCGGUUCUUUUAAGGACAAGCGACACGCGGCGCGCCUCCACUUGGAGAUGGAGAGGUUUGCUAAGGACCGGGCCUGUAGAACCGCUAAACACGUGGCUGUCGGUAGCAAUCCCCCCUCUUACCCCCAGAUACAGCCUACCAGCAAUCAAUGCGCCCUGGCAGGCAUUGAUUUGUUUUGACUUAGAUGCCAGUGAUUUUCCUCAAGUGCAAGACCAACCAUGUCACUCUAUUGCUCAAUCAACUCAAGUAUUUUCCUGUUACCUCUAGAAUCAAAUAUAAAUAAAUAAAUGUAAAUAUAAACUGACUUACAAGUCAGUGUGGCCCCUUUA